UGAGGAAUAUUGGGCAAUGCCCGCAAGGGUGACCCAGCAACGCCGCGUGGAGGAUGAAUGUCGUAAGAUUGUAAACUCCUGUUAGAGGGGAAGAAUAGUACCGGUUGGACCGGUAUAUGACUGUACCCUCAGAGAAAGCCCCGGCUAACUACGUGCCAGCAGCCGCGGUAAUACGUAGGGGGCAAGCGUUGUCCGGAUUUACUGGGUGUAAAGGGCGCGCAGGCGGGAUAAAAAGUCAGUGGUGAAAUCCUACAGCUUAACUGUAGAACUGCCUUUGAUACUUUUAUUCUUGAGUUCGGGAGAGAGAGACGGAAUUCCAGGUGGAGUGGUGAAAUACGUAGAUAUCUGGAAGAACACCAGUUGCGAAGGCGGUCUCUUGGUCCGACACUGACGCUGAGGCGCGAAAGCGUGGGGAGCAAACA
rnacentral:rRNA from 1 species